AAAAUGUAUAAAAAUGUAAAUCAGUAAAUGAUUCUUUCAUUAAAAUUAAGAUUAAAAUUAGAUAAGUGCUUAUCACAUCUUUAUUUUCUGAAUAAUUGAUACACUCCUAUAUUAUAAUGACAAAAUUAUAAAAGGUACACAUAA